rnacentral:rRNA from 1 species
UUACUACAUUUUUUCAUAUGUAUUUACACGAAAUAAAGUGAGCUAAAUAUAAUCACGUAUAGGUGUAAUAUUAUUACGUAGUAUAGUAAUAUAACAGUAAUAUUUAGUAGUGAUAGGCCUACCAAACUUUUUGAUAACUUGUUAUGUAAAAAAUAUAUUAAGUAUUUAGUCAAUCUACAAAAGUUAAGCUUUGUAGUUAUUAUAAAAGUAAAAAAAACGUAUUAAGUUAUAUUUUAAUCAUUAAAUUAUUAAGUUUAAAACAAUAUUAAUUAAUUAAUUUUAUAUUUAUUAUUACAUUAUAUUAUAUUAUUAUAAAUAUAAAUAAUGUAAAUAUAAGUAGUAAUUUAAAUAUUUUAAAGGAACUCGGCAAAUAUGCUGUUCAACUGUUUAUCAAAAACAUAGCUAUAUGAUAUAAUAUAUAGUGGUUCUGCUCAAUGGUAAUCUAAAUAGCCGCAGUACACUGACUGUGCAAAGGUAGCAUAAUCAGUUGGCUUUUAAUUGGAGUCUGGGAUGAAUGAAAGUAUGGGUAGCAACUGUCUAACUACUAUAUUAUAACAAAAUUAGUUAGCAAGUGCAAAAACUUGCAGAUAUAAAAAAGACGAGAAGACCCUAGAAACUUGUAACAUUGUUUUGUUGGGGCGACAGAAUUACAUGAAACUAAUUUUAAUAAGCAUGACGUUUUUCAGAAAGACUAAGUUACUCUAGGGAUAACAGCAUAAUUUUUAUAGUUUGUGACCUCGAUGUUGGACUAGGUAUAUAAUUUUUUAGAAGAAAAUUUACAAAGCUCUGUUCGAGCAAAAGAACCUACAUGAUCUGAGUU